GUGGUAAUUUGCUGCCGGAGUUUAUUUGUAUGUUUCUUUUAAGUUACCCUGAAGUAUUAAUUACUUGCUUUACUUGUGAGAUCGGGAGA